rnacentral:misc_RNA from 1 species
CAACUGCGAUAAUUAGUGUGAACUGCAGAAACCUUGAACACAAAACCUUCGAAUGCACAUUGCGCCAUUGGAAUCGCUUCCUUUGGCACGCCUGGUUCAGGGUCGUUUUCCAAAAACGCAUGCCGUUUGCGUGUACCAAUGUGUGUGUUCACUUAUGCUGGUGUCUGUGCUGUGUUUUAUGCACGGGCCUAAGCUGCAGUGUUCAUAUAUGAGUGUGAGCUCGAGUGUGCUUUGCAUUAGCGCUACGCGGGUGUUGGGUCCUGUACGCUGUUUUUGUCUUUUAAUCAGCCGAUCCUCGCCUUGAAGACCGCCUAUGUCUGUGCGUUCGCUUUUGCUUUGUGCAUAUGGGCAUUGAAAGUCAUCACAUCAUUUUUCGACCUGAACUCAGACGUGAAUACCC